AAUAUUGCACAAUGGGGGAAACCCUGAUGCAGCGACGCCGCGUGAGCGAAGAAGGCCUUCGGGUCGUAAAGCUCUUUCCUCAGGGAAGAAACGGACGGUACCUCAGCACGUAGCCCCGGCUAACUACGUGCCAGCAGCCGCGGUAAGACGUAGGGGGCGAACGUUAUCCGGAAUUUUUGGGCGUAACGGGUGAUUAGGCGGCCUUUUAAGAAAGAUGUGAAAGGCUACGGCUUAAACGUAGUUAGCAUUUGAAACUAAAAGGCUUGAGUGCAGGAGAGGAGAGUGGAAUUCCUAGUGUAGCGGUGAAAUGCGUAGAUAUUAGGAGGAACACCAGUGGCGAAGGCGACUCUCUGGACUGCAACUGACGCUGAGGCACGAAAGCGUGGGGAGCGAACAGG
rnacentral:rRNA from 1 species